rnacentral:rRNA from 1 species
AGACUUUUAAAGUCUCUGAAGGGCCGUUGAAGACUACAACGUUGAUAGGCAAGAUGUGGAAGUGGUGUGAGCCAUUAAGCUAACUUGUACUAAUUACCCGUGAGGCUUAACCAUACAACGCCAAACGCGUUU